GACGAACGCUGGCGGCGUGCUUAACACAUGCAAGUCGAACGGAAAGGCCCCCAUCUUGGUGGGGGUGCUCGAGUGGCGAACGGGUGAGUAACACGUGGGUGAUCUGCCCUGUACUUCGGGAUAAGCUUGUGAAACUGGGUCUAAUACCGGAUAGGACCAUGGUUUAGUGUCUCAUGGUGGAAAGUUUAUUGUUUUGGUGCAGGAUGAGCUCGCGGCCUAUCAGCUUGUUGGUGGGGUAAUGGCCUACCAAGGCGUCGACGGGUAGCCGGCCUGAGAGGGUGGACGGAGAGAUUGGGAGUGAGAUACGGGCCAGACUGCUAGGGGAGACAGCAGUGGGGAAUAGUGGACGAUGAGCGCACGCAUGAGGCAGAAACGUCGCGUAGGGGAUCACGGUCUUGGAGUUGUACACUCCUUUCGUAAGGGGCGAAGGCACGCUAUUUAGGUGUAGUGACGGUAACUGUGUAAAGAAGCACCGGCAAACUACGU
rnacentral:rRNA from 1 species